ACCCUGCUGGAGUCCGGGGGGGACCUCCAGCCCCCCGGGGGGUCCCUGCGCCUCCUCUGCCGAGGACAAGGAUUCGACAUCGGGAAUCACGAGAUCUUCUGGUUCCGCCAGAAAGCCGGGAAGACGCUGGAAUACGUUGCUCGGAUCAGCCCCGAUGGUGGCACCCCCCAGUACACUCCAGGGGUGCAGGGCCGGUUCACCAUCACCAGGGACAACGGGCAGAGCUCGGUGACGCUGAGCAUGAACAACCUCCAGGACGAGGAUUCCGGGGUUUAUUUCUGUGCCAGAACGUAUGAUGAUGGUGGUGGUUAUGCUGUUUAUCGU